CUAGAAAUUUAAAAUCUAUCAAUAUCUUCCCACACUAAAAACUACUCUUAAAAAGUCAUUUAGCUUCAGUUCAAAAAUAACCAAAAAUGCAGAUAAUCCCAGCCAUUAUUCUCUCGCCUAAUUCAAAUGCCUUAAAUCUUGCGCACAAUGAAUGAAAAGAGCUGACGAUAAACAUUUAAUACAAUAAAUUCGUCCACUAUUAUUAACUGUUGCCACAACAAUGCUAAUGACGCAAUAAAAUUAUUUUUAAUCUGCAAAGCGACAUCUAUCGGUACUAACGGAUCUACAUAAAAUAAUAUAAGCCAUUUGAUUUGAUAUAUAUGGGCAAUUUAAUUAUAGUCGGCGAUCCGACAAGUGCUCUAAAUAAAAUUGAUGUGAUUUAUAAUGCAAGCAAACAGUAAAGCAAAACUGUCGCAUUCAUUACUGUAUGACAUUUAUACACAAAAGGAUGUUCAUACAUACAUAUAUACAUUUCAAACUGUAUAUCCGUUCGUCAUUCAUUCACCUUCUUCAUUUUACAGUUGCCGAUUGUUCAAGUAAUGAAAUAAACCCAGUGUUAAGUGUCGCUUUUAGCUGUCGUUGCUGUUUACGUAUAUUUUAAAGCGCGCUCUGUCGUCGAGUUUGCGCACUAAGCACUACAGCGACAGCCUGUACACAAACCCAAACUGUCAAACUGUCGUCGUGCCUAGCGGGGAAGAAGCGAACUAAAUAACUGGCUUUUAUAACCAGCCCAGCUAACGAGCGAGGUUUGACACAAAACUACAUAGCUACCUGAUCUUCUCUUAUGGGAAUUUUAUGAUUAGUUUUUCAGUUGAAAUUGAGCAUAUUGUUGUAGAUUUGUGUUAAAUUUAUUGAGUAAAAGUAAUGUUAAAAUAAAAUUACUAGCUAAGACCCAUUACUAAUUUUUAGUUUAAAUUAUCUGAUAUGUUUUUAAAUAAGCAUAAAUGUAUAUUCAAAAUUGAUGAUGUACACACGCACAGACGCAAUGGCUGCCGAAGGCAUAAUGGCCGCCGCCUCGUGGCAUUGGCCAACCACCACCGUCGGCGAAUGAUGGCAGUACGCAUGUCGCAUGAAAAAAGAUACACACACAGCGCAGAGCAGAGCACAAGCCCUGCCCCUCGACUGAGCCAAGCAGCAGGUGAAGGAAAGAAAGAAAAAAAUAACUUUAGAGCUUGAGUGCGCGUUAAUGAACUCAUGCAACUGCAAUCAGAAUUUAUUGUGGCCAGCCACAGCUCCCACUUCAACUCUCUUGCUAUAGCUAGACCGUAAACCAACCGCGAGUGAAUUUAUGAAAUUAUAGCCGCAAUUACACAGGACUGUGAGCUGCAGAUGGAGCUGGAGCAGGUGCGAGGAGCGAAGUACGAAGUGCGAGUUGCCAGCCAAGGCACGCAAUGCAUUGAUGACGACAUACAUACUACAUAGAUGUCCCAGUCCUGCUCCUGUUCUGGAUGUCGAUGGCUGGCGCUAAUGACUUUAGUGCCGCUAAUAAAUCCAUUCAAGCGCACAAACAGAGCAAGCUCUUCCUUCAUCGAGUGCUCGUGCCAUUAAGUGCGCCAUCAACGCUCAAUUGAGGAGAUUCCAUCAUAAAACGGACACAGGCAAAAGGACAGAGUCCUUGGCGCGACGUUGUGCAAUUAACACCUGAUCGGUAACGAAGUGUGCACGAUGCUGAGGUGUGUGUGUGUAAAGUGUAUGAGUGCGAGUAUAUUGACCUCAUAUAACAUUCUGCUGCAUGAGUUUAUCAAGAUUGUUAAAUGGCUCUCAAGAAAAUAAAUGCAAUGGAGCGAUUGCAUGAAAUUAAAAUUAUCUAGGCUAAUUUAGAUCGAUAUCUGACUAAGAAUUUUGACAAGAAUUAAUUUCAACAGCUUUAAAUGUGAUUCAAAUUUCUGUUUUCAAAUAUUAACCGAAAUAAAACCACUUGAU